AUUGAACGCUGGCGGAAUGCUUUACACAUGCAAGUCGAACGGCAGCACGGGGCAACCUGGUGGCGAGUGGCGAACGGGUGAGUAAUACAUCGGAACGUGCCCAAUCGUGGGGGAUAACGUAGCGAAAGUUACGCUAAUACCGCAUACGAUCUACGGAUGAAAGCGGGGGAUCGCAAGACCUCGCGCGAAUGGAGCGGCCGAUGUCAGAUUAGGUAGUUGGUGGGGUAAAGGCUCACCAAGCCAACGAUCUGUAGCUGGUCUGAGAGGACGACCAGCCACACUGGGACUGAGAUACGGCCCAGACUCCUACGGGAGGCAGCAGUGGGGAAUUUUGGACAAUGGGCGCAAGCCUGAUCCAGCCAUUCCGCGUGCAGGAUGAAGGCCUUCGGGUUGUAAACUGCUUUUGUACGGAACGAAACGGCUCUCUCUAAUACAGGGGGCUAAUGACGGUACCGUAAGAAUAAGCACCGGCUAACUACGUGCCAGCCGCCGCAGUAACAC
rnacentral:rRNA from 1 species